CUUGCUCUGUGGGAUCAGUGGCGAACGGGUGAGUAACACGUGAGCAACCUGCCCCUGACUCUGGGAUAAGCGCUGGAAACGGCGUCUAAUACUGGAUAUGUGACGUGACCGCAUGGUCUGCGUCUGGAAAGAAUUUCGGUUGGGGAUGGGCUCGCGGCCUAUCAGCUUGUUGGUGAGGUAAUGGCUCACCAAGGCGUCGACGGGUAGCCGGCCUGAGAGGGUGACCGGCCACACUGGGACUGAGACACGGCCCAGACUCCUACGGGAGGCAGCAGUGGGGAAUAUUGCACAAUGGGCGCAAGCCUGAUGCAGCAACGCCGCGUGAGGGACGACGGCCUUCGGGUUGUAAACCUCUUUUAGCAGGGAAGAAGCGAAAGUGACGGUACCUGCAGAAAAAGCGCCGGCUAACUACGUGCCAGCAGCCGCGGUAAUACGUAGGGCGCAAGCGUUAUCCGGAAUUAUUGGGCGUAAAGAGCUCGUAGGCGGUUUGUCGCGUCUGCUGUGAAAUCCGGAGGCUCAACCUCCGGCCUGCAGUGGGUACGGGCAGACUAGAGUGCGGUAGGGGAGAUUGGAAUUCCUGGUGUAGCGGUGGAAUGCGCAGAUAUCAGGAGGAACACCGAUG
rnacentral:rRNA from 1 species